rnacentral:rRNA from 1 species
GACGAACGCUGGCGGCGUGCUUAACACAUGCAAGUCGAACGAUGAAGCCUAGCUUGCUAGGUGGAUUAGUGGCGAACGGGUGAGUAAUACGUGAGUGACCUACCUUUUACUCUGUGAUAAGCCUUGGAAACUGGGUCUAAUACCGGAUACGACCAAUCCCCGCACGGGGUGUUGGUGGGAAGCGUUAUGGAGUGGUUUUAGAUGGCCUCACUGCCUAUCAGCUUGUUGGUGAGGUAGUGGCUUACCAAGGCGACGACGGGUAGCCGGCCUGAGAGGGUGACCGGCCACACUGGGACUGAGACACGGCCCAGACUCCUACGGGAGGCAGCAGUGGGGAAUAUUGCACAAUGGGCGCAAGCCUGAUGCAGCGACGCCGCGUGAGGGAUGACGGCCUUCGGGUUGUAAACCUCUGUUGGCAUCGAAGAAGCGAAAGUGACGGUAGGUGCAGAGAAAGCGCCGGCUAACUACGUG